rnacentral:rRNA from 1 species
UACAGAGGGGGCAAGCGUUAUUCGGAAUUAUUGGGCGUAAAGGGCGCGUAGGCGGUUUUUUAAGUGAGAUGUGCAAUCCCCGAGCUUAACUUGGGAACUGCAUCUCAGACUGGAAGGCUAGAGUACUGGAGAGGGUGGUAGAAUUCCACGUGUAGCGGUGAAAUGCGUAGAGAUGUGGAGGAAUACCAGUGGCGAAGGCGGCCACCUGGACAGUAACUGACGCUGAGGCGCGAAAGUGUGGGUAGCAAAC